rnacentral:rRNA from 1 species
UGUCUCAGUUGUACCACCCUGAGGGCCCCCCCAAUCCCAUCUGAUCUGGGAGGUUAAACAGGGCCAAGUGUAGUUUGUAUUGGAUGGGAGAUAGACAUAAGAUAGCUUCACUGUGGUUU